GAUGAACGCUGGCGGCGUGCCUAACACAUGCAAGUCGAACGGGGGCAGAUUGAAACCUAGUGAUAUCUGCCCGAGUGGCGGACGGGUGAGUAACGCGUGGACAACCUGCCGCAUGCAGGGGGAUACCGGCUGGAAACAGCCGCUAAUACCGCAUAUGCGCACAGUGCCGCAUGGCACAGUGCGGAAAGGAUUAUUCCGGCAUGCGAUGGGUCCGCGUCCGAUUAGCUUGUUGGCGGGGCAGCGGCCCACCAAGGCGACGAUCGGUAGCCGGCCUGAGAGGGCGGACGGCCACAUUGGGACUGAGACACGGCCCAG
rnacentral:rRNA from 1 species